rnacentral:rRNA from 1 species
AGCAGCCGCGGUAAUUCCAGCUCCAAUAGCGUAUAUUAAAGUUGUUGCAGUUAAAAAGCUCGUAGUUGAAUUUCGGGGUCAGUAGGCUGGUCGUGCCACAGGUAUGUACUGGUCUUACUGAUUCCUCCUUCCUGAUGAACCGUAAUGCCAUUAAUUUGGUGUUGCGGGGAAUCUGGACUGUUACUUUGAAAAAAUUAGAGUGUUUAAAGCAGGCUAACGCUUGAAUACAUUAGCAUGGAAUAAUGAAAUAGGACGAUCGAUCCUAUUUUGUUGGUUUCUAGGAUUGACGUAAUGAUUAAUAGGGAUAGUUGGGGGCAUUAGUAUUCAAUUGUCAGAGGUGAAAUUCUUGGAUUUAUUGAAGACUAACUACUGCGAAAGCAUUUGCCAAGGAUGUUUUCAUUAAUCAAGAACGAAAGUUAGGGGAUCGAAGACGAUCAGAUACCGCCGUAGUCUUAACCAUAAACUAUGCCGACUAGGGAUCGGAUGAUGUUAAUUUUUUAAUGACUCAUUCGGCGUCCG